rnacentral:tRNA from 1 species
CUGGAUAGGAGGGCCUCGAUCCC